GGGCUUGUAGCUCAGGUGGUAGAGCACUGCUAUCGCACAGCAGGGGUCAGGGGUUCGACUCCCCUCAAGUCCA
rnacentral:tRNA from 1 species